UACCAACACCCCGAGUGGUCGGGGCGAUUAUUGGGCCUAAAGCGUCCGUAGCCGGUUCUACAAGUCUUCCGUUAAAUCCACCUGCUUAACAGAUGGGCUGCGGAAGAUACUAUAGAGCUAGGAGGCGGGAGAGGCAAGCGGUACUCGAUGGGUAGGGGUAAAAUCCGUUGAUCCAUUGAAGACCACCAGUGGCGAAGGCGGCUUGCCAGAACGCGCUCGACGGUGAGGGAUGAAAGCGGGGGGAGCAAACCGG
rnacentral:rRNA from 1 species